UCCGUAGGCGGGCAAUUAAGUCAGAGGUGAAAUCCCACAGCUCAACUGUGGAACUGCCUUUGAUACUGGUUGUCUUGAGUUACAGUGAAGUAGAUAGAAUAUGUAGUGUAGCGGUGAAAUGCAUAGAUAUUACAUAGAAUACCGAUUGCGAAGGCAGUCUACUAACUGUAUACUGACGCUAAUGGACGAAAGCGUGGGGAGCGAACAGGAUUAGUUACCCUGGUAGUCC
rnacentral:rRNA from 1 species